UACGUAGGGUGCAAGCGUUGUCCGGAAUUAUUGGGCGUAAAGAGCUCGUAGGCGGUUUGUUGCGUCGGCUGUGAAAUCCCGAGGCUCAACCUCGGGUCUGCAGUCGAUACGAGCAAACUAGAGUGUUGCAGGGGAGACUGGAAUUCCUGGUGUAGCGGUGAAAUGCGCAGAUAUCGGGAGGAACACCAGUAGCGAAGGCGGCACUCUGGGCCGUGACUGACGCUGAGGAGCGAAAGCGUGGGUAGCAAACAGG
rnacentral:rRNA from 1 species